AUGAAGAGAAAAAGAACUUUGCACAGCUGGUUUGCAAGCAAUUCAAAUGCUCCCCUUGUUGUUUCCGAACCCAAUGCUCGUCCAGUUGAUGUUGUUGUUCAACCAGCCUCUAUUGAGAACAUAAUUCAUCCUACUCCAACAAAUGAGAGCACUAAUCCCUCAACCGAUGUCGAUCAGAGCACUAAUCCCCAUGCAAAUGAGAGUACCAAUCCCCCAACUAAUGAGAGCACAAACCAACCACCAAAGCAUCAUAUACUGGAAUUCCAUCCAAGUCAGAUUUUUGGUGAUCUGGCUGAUCAAAUACCAAUAGAAGAUUAUGCCCCUGAAAUUCGAAGUGAAGUGAGAGGAGCUUAUUUGUUGAAACAAAGAAACAAAGCUACUGGGCAUAAAUUUGAAGUGGGAUUGGAUGGUAAAAUUUGGAGAUCCUUUCAACCACAAUGGCUAGAUAAGUUUGAUUGGUUGGAAUAUAGUGUGAAAAAGGAGGCUGCCUUUUGUUUCCCUUGUUUUCUUUUCAAGAAUCCAUCACAAGCGGCUAGAUUUGGCAAUGAUGUAUUUAUAGUAGAUGGUUACAAGCGUUGGAAAACUGCUUUGGGAAAUUUUAGGAAACAUGUUGGUGGUCCAUCUAGUUACCACAACAUUGCUGUGGGCUUAUGUGUUGAUUUCAGCAAUCAAAGGGCCAAUGUGGCUACCAAAAUGCGAGUAUACAAUAAAGAGGCUGAUAUAAAAUAUAAAAUCCGCUUGACUGCAUCAUUGGAUUGUGCAAGGUAUCUCAUAGCUCAAGGGGAAGCUUUUCGUGGACAUGAUGAAUCCUCCAAUUCCGUCAACAAAGGCAAUUUUAGGGAGUUCUUGGACUGGUAUAAGGACAAGAAUAAGGAUGUGAAAGAUGCAUUUGAUAAGGGGCAAGGCAAUGCACUUAUGAUAUGUCCAGAUAUUCAAAAGGACCUUGCUACAUGUUGUGCAUUGGAGGUAACCAAAGUCAUCAAGGAAGAGCUUGGAGAUAAGAAUUUCUCGAUACUUAUUGAUGAGGCUAGAGAUUGCUCAAUAAAGGAGCAAAUGGCAAUAAUUUUGAGAUUUUUAGAUGAUCACGGGAAGCUUCAGGAGAGAUUUCUUGCUAUUAAGCACAUCACAGAUUGUACAUCUGCCGGAAUUAAAGAAGCAUUGGUCCAUGUGUUGGAGUACCAUGGCCUGCCUAUUAAUAGGCUACGUGGACAGGGUUACGACGGGGCUUCAAAUAUGAGAGGAGAAUUCAACGGUUUGCAAAAGCUAAUUCGUGAUGAGAGUCCAUAUGCUUUCUUUGUUCACUGCUUUGCCCACCAGUUGCAGUUAGUGGUUGUCACAGUGGCUCAGUGUUGUCCGGUUAUUGCUGAUUUUUUCAACUACCUUCCCUUGAUAGUGACUCAGGUGGGUUCAUCUUGCAAAAGGAAGGAUGCAUUGCUUGCAAAGCAUCAAGACAACUUGAUAGAAAUGAUGGAAAAUUAG
rnacentral:rRNA from 1 species